rnacentral:misc_RNA from 1 species
CAUAGUUAGUAGAAAUGGACGUAAAUCUGGGUUAACUGAUUAAUUAAGUUAUAUUUAAACUUCAGUUUUUAUUUGAAAAGAAUCAUUUAAACAUGAGCUCUUUAAAUUUUUGUUGGUAUUUAAUUUUGACAGUUAAUAAUGAUUAAAGUUAUAUAAGUUGUUCUGCAGAUGGGUGAUGCGGGUUGCGGUAGUAAAAGUAGAAAAUUUAAUAAUUAAAAUUAGUUAUAGAUUGUUUAAAUAUAAACAUAGAUAAUCAGCCGAUUUUUUAAUUUAACUUUUCGGUAUUAUAAUGUUUAGUCGUUUUUCGAUCAAUAAUUACCGCAAACUAACCUAUCAUAUGUGUGAGUGAGAAAAAUGGCCAGUAAUGUACCUGAAGUAAAUUAUAGCUGUGAAAUUUGCGGUCUGGAAGGGUUAACAGAAGAAGAACUGAGAUCUCACACCAAUACAGAACAUGUUGAAGGCAAAGGUACAUGCCCUUUUUGUCAGUUAACUACAAAACCUUCAAAAUUAUUAGUACAUGUGAAUCAAGCACAUUUAGAUUAUUUAACUCCUGAAUCAGAAAACAACAUUAGUUUUAUCGAUGACACUAGUCCCAGUGAAUGUAAUGGAUUCACAGACUGGAGUUUGCCAUCUAAUUACAGUCAAGAUUUAUCCAGUAAUGGCAAGAAUUCAAAGCAAAAUAUUAACAUUAAUAACAUGAAUUACAACUCAAAGGCUGCCUUCUGCAAUGGGGAAUCUAGUCCAAAUAAUUCCAGCCAUGGGGAGGGAUCACCACUCCGUUCCAGUCUUAAUCUUAAAUUGAAGAGUACUGCCCCAACCCUGCAAUGUCCUAUGUGUCAGUAUACAAGCUUAAGUCCUGGAGAGUUAGAGGAACAUAUUAACAGACAACAUUUUGAUGUGACUUCUCCGUCAGUUGGUCAUUUAACAGGAGAAAUAUUUUCAUGUCCUUUGUGCAUUAAAACUUAUGACUCUGCACCUGAUUUAGAGCUUCAUGUGAACAUUGAACAUCGUGAUAUUUUGUCCCCUGCAAGCCCUUCAACAGCCACCUGUCCCGUUUGUGGUAUAUCGUUAAACAACGACAGUGAUAGUGAAGAAGCUGUAAGACAUGUGGAGUCCCACUUUCCAGCUGGUUCUCCUAUUCAGUUAGAUAGGGCUGCUAUUAAAGAACGUGAGCAAAGGGAAUUUGAGAUGUUAAGGGCGCAAUAUGGGAUGGACAAUCAGGGAAAUUUCAGGGAACAGUCUGUGACAAAUAUGCAAAGGGCAGUUUAUGCUGGUGAGAUGAGCGUUGCCGAUUAUUACGAACGAACUCUGGGUUUAAAAGCUGCUGAAAGUUACGGUAUUGAUGAUGGCAGUUCGAUUACGCGAAAUAUGGUUCCAAGAGUCCGAGCAUUAAGUUCAAACGCACAAAAUGUCGUACGCACUCUUACUUGUACAUGUGUAGACCACUAUGCGUCUUCUUAUGGGGAUAGGGGGUGGGGUUGUGGCUACAGGAAUGCACAGAUGUUGAUAUCAAGUCUAUUAACGCACACAGGAUAUAAUGAGAGACUCUACAAACUGUGGCAAGGUCAGAAACCCCCUAGAUCUGCUGUUCCCAGUAUAUCUAGAUUGCAAAAUCUUAUCGAACAAGCUUGGGCCAAUGGUUUUGAUGUACAGGGUUCAGAGCAACUGGGUAGUCGAUUGGUUAACACCAGGAAGUGGAUCGGUGCUACAGAAGUGGUCACUUUGUUAUCGUUUUUAAAAAUACGUUGCCAGUUAGUGGACUUUCACAGACCAACUGGGCCAGGAGGGACUCACCCUGAAUUGUUCCGAUGGGUGCUGCGAUAUUUUGAGAACAGCGUAGGGGGAGAAUUUGUCGCUCCUUUGUAUCUACAACAUCAAGGUCUUCCACCGAUUUCAUUCUUAUCAACUUAUCUAUGAUUUCAUCUUGUGAUAUAUGGAUACCUAGUCUAGGGAUAUGUCAUUGUCUUCGGUCUUCGACUUGUCUAUGGGCUUCCAAAAGACGACGUACCAUCGUUUCUGCUGUCGUUAAACGGAGACUAUUUCUGAAGAGCUUGCUGCGAGAUAAAUCCUUGGAUUAGAUGGACCUUGCUACUUAGAGAUGUAACAUUUCUGGUAGUCAGUUUAAUUUGUUAAUUUCAAGAAUGCACCUAAUGAGCUGGUCGCAAAAUUCAUAGGACUCAAGAUGUUAAUAAUGGUUCCAUUAAAACUUUAUCAAUGAAU